AAUAUUGGACAAUGGGGGCCACCCUGAUCCAGCCAUGCCGCGUGUGUGAAGAAGGUCUUCGGGUUGUCUGGCACUCUAAGUUGGGAGGAAGGGCUUUAGGUUAAUACCCUGUUGUUUUGACGUUACCAACAGAACAAGCACCGGCUAAGUCCGUGCCAGCAGCCGCGGUAAUACAGAGGGUGCAAGCGUUAAUCGGAAUUACUGGGCGUAAAGCGCGCGUAGGUGGUUCAGUAAGAUGGGUGUGAAAUCCCCGGGCUUAACCUGGGAACUGCUUUCAUAACUGCUGAGCUAGAGUACGGUAGAGGGUAGUGGAAUUUCCUGUGUAGCGGUGAAAUGCGUAGAUAUAGGAAGGAACACCAGUGGCGAAGGCGACUACCUGGACUGAUACUGACACUGAGGUGCGAAAGCGUGGGGAGCAAACA
rnacentral:rRNA from 1 species